rnacentral:rRNA from 1 species
GGGUUGUGAGGUUAAGCGACUAAGCGUACACGGUGGAUGCCCUGGCAGUCAGAGGCGAUGAAGGACGUGCUAAUCUGCGAAAAGCGUCGGUAAGGUGAUAUGAACCGUUACAGCCGGCGAUGUCCGAAUGGGGAAACCCAGUGUGAUUCGUCACACUAUCGUUAACUGAAUACAUAGGUUAACGAGGCGAACCGGGGGAACUGAAACAUCUAAGUACCCCGAGGAAAAGAAAUCAACCGAGAUUCCCCCAGUAGCGGCGAGCGAACGGGGAGCAGCCCAGAGUCUGAAUCAGCUUGUGUGUUAGUGGAACGGUCUGGAAAGUCCGACGGUACAGGGUGAUAGUCCCGUACACCAAAAUGCACAGGCUGUGAACUCGAAGAGUAGGGCGGGACACGUGGUAUCCUGUCUGAAUAUGGGGGACCAUCCUCCAAGGCUAAAUACUCCUGACUGACCGAUAGUGAACCAGUACCGUGAGGGAAAGGCGAAAAGAACCCCGGCGAGGGGAGUGAAAAAGAACCUGAAACCGUGUACGUACAAGCAGUGGGAGCACCUUCGGGUGUGACUGCGUACCUUUUGUAUAAUGGGUCAGCGACUUAUAUUCUGUAGCAAGGUUAACCGUAUAGGGGAGCCGCAGGGAAACCGAGUCUUAACUGGGCGUUAAGUUGCAGGGUAUAGACCCGAAACCCGGUGAUCUAGCCAUGGGCAGGUUGAAGGUUGGGUAACACUAACUGGAGGACCGAACCGACUAAUGUUGAAAAAUUAGCGGAUGACUUGUGGCUGGGGGUGAAAGGCCAAUCAAACCGGGAGAUAGCUGGUUCUCCCCGAAAGCUAUUUAGGUAGCGCCUCGUGAAUUCAUCUUCGGGGGUAGAGCACUGUUUCGGCUAGGGGUCAUCCCGACUUACCAACCCGAUGCAAACUACGAAUACCGAAGAAUGUUAUCACGGGAGACACACGGCGGGUGCUAACGUCCGUCGUGAAGAGGGAAACAACCCAGACCGCCAGCUAAGGUCCCAAAGUCACAGUUAAGUGGGAAACGAUGUGGGAAGGCACAGACAGCCAGGAUGUUGGCUUAGAAGCAGCCAUCAUUUAAAGAAAGCGUAAUAGCUCACUGGUCGAGUCGGCCUGCGCGGAAGAUGUAACGGGGCUAAACUGUGCACCGAAGCUGCGGCAGCGACACUAUGUGUUGUUGGGUAGGGGAGCGUUCUGUAAGCCUGCGAAGGUGGCCUGUGAGGGUUGCUGGAGGUAUCAGAAGUGCGAAUGCUGACAUAAGUAACGAUAAUGCGGGUGAAAAGCCCGCACGCCGGAAGACCAAGGGUUCCUGUCCAACGUUAAUCGGGGCAGGGUGAGUCGACCCCUAAGGCGAGGCCGAAAGGCGUAGUCGAUGGGAAACAGGUUAAUAUUCCUGUACUUGGUGUUACUGCGAAGGGGGGACGGAGAAGGCUAUGUUAGCCGGGCGACGGUUGUCCCGGUUUAAGCAUGUAGGCGGAGGUUCCAGGUAAAUCCGGUACCUUUUUAACGCUGAGGUGUGAUGACGAGGCACUACGGUGCUGAAGUAACAAAUGCCCUGCUUCCAGGAAAAGCCUCUAAGCAUCAGGUAACAUUAAAUCGUACCCCAAACCGACACAGGUGGUCAGGUAGAGAAUACCAAGGCGCUUGAGAGAACUCGGGUGAAGGAACUAGGCAAAAUGGUGCCGUAACUUCGGGAGAAGGCACGCUGAUAUGUAGGUGAAGCCCCUGCGGGUGGAGCUGAAAUCAGUCGAAGAUACCAGCUGGCUGCAACUGUUUAUUAAAAACACAGCACUGUGCAAACACGAAAGUGGACGUAUACGGUGUGACGCCUGCCCGGUGCCGGAAGGUUAAUUGAUGGGGUUAUCCGUAAGGAGAAGCUCUUGAUCGAAGCCCCGGUAAACGGCGGCCGUAACUAUAACGGUCCUAAGGUAGCGAAAUUCCUUGUCGGGUAAGUUCCGACCUGCACGAAUGGCGUAAUGAUGGCCAGGCUGUCUCCACCCGAGACUCAGUGAAAUUGAACUCGCUGUGAAGAUGCAGUGUACCCGCGGCAAGACGGAAAGACCCCGUGAACCUUUACUAUAGCUUGACACUGAACAUUGAGCCUUGAUGUGUAGGAUAGGUGGGAGGCUUUGAAGCGUGGACGCCAGUCUGCGUGGAGCCAACCUUGAAAUACCACCCUUUAAUGUUUGAUGUUCUAACGUUGGCCCCUUAUCGGGGUUGCGGACAGUGUCUGGUGGGUAGUUUGACUGGGGCGGUCUCCUCCCAAAGAGUAACGGAGGAGCACGAAGGUUAGCUAAUCCUGGUCGGACAUCAGGAGGUUAGUGCAAUGGCAUAAGCUAGCUUGACUGCGAGCGUGACGGCGCGAGCAGGUGCGAAAGCAGGUCAUAGUGAUCCGGUGGUUCUGAAUGGAAGGGCCAUCGCUCAACGGAUAAAAGGUACUCCGGGGAUAACAGGCUGAUACCGCCCAAGAGUUCAUAUCGACGGCGGUGUUUGGCACCUCGAUGUCGGCUCAUCACAUCCUGGGCUGAAGUAGGUCCCAAGGGUAUGGCUGUUCGCCAUUUAAAGUGGUACGCGAGCUGGGUUUAGAACGUCGUGAGACAGUUCGGUCCCUAUCUGCCGUGGGCGCUGGAGAAUUGAGGGGGGCUGCUCCUAGUACGAGAGGACCGGAGUGGACGCAUCACUGGUGUUCGGGUUGUCAUGCCAAUGGCAUUGCCCGGUAGCUAAAUGCGGAAGAGAUAAGUGCUGAAAGCAUCUAAGCACGAAACUUGCCCCGAGAUGAGUUCUCCCUGAGACUUUAAGUCUCCUGAAGGAACGUUAAAGACGAUGACGUUGAUAGGUCGGGUGUGUAAGCGUAGCGAUACGUUGAGCUAACCGAUACUAAUGAACCGUGAGGCUUAACCUUACAACGCCGAAG